GAAAAGUAAAGUUUUUGUCAGGUGAUCGCUGGGGUAUUUUCCUCUUCCCGCCAUGCAUGCUUAUCUCGCACUUAUCGCCCGAUAGUUGGCGAGAACGGAUGUGCAGAAUGUGUCUGAUCAAAGCACCUCGACUAUGAUUAUUGGCGAUUUACAAGAUUUGGGUUUACAGUUUUUAUUCAAUGUUGACCAUGAGGAUUUUCUCACAAGCAUGUGAGGAUCACACAGCUCGUGAAAUUAAACCGGGAGAUGAUAAAAUGGAUAUCGACACGGCCGCGAGCCUAGAUCUUGUGAAUUCUAAUUUGAACUUCACCAAGUGUUGAAAUUGUCAGGUUUUGGGCAACCGCCAGAGAUAUUCUACUGUAUACAACCAAAAGUGUCGUGGCGUUUUAAGAUAGGAGGAGGAUUAGCAUGGGACUCAUGAGAUUUUUGGCCAAUUAUUGAUGUUAGAAGUCCGCCAUGCAUAGACUUCUCGUUAUUUUCCUGGGCCUGGGCCCAAUAAUUGGAAUUCUGGCAUUUUAUCGUUUACCUUGAACUGGUUACGCCCUACACUAUUGAGAAAGUCGCUGUAGAUCAUUGUUUUGCAUACCAUAAUCAUCAUUCUGUAUCUUUGUCAUUGUGCAAGUAACCAAUUAGAUUCCGCCUAAUUAAAACGUAAAAAUUACUAUGUCAAAUGUUAUAUUCUCUUCAUUGUUUUGUAUAGUCACUUAUUCAAAAUGUUGAUAUUAUUGUUCCAUGAAUCAUUGGAUUUAUAUAAAAAGCCAUGACAAAAAC